rnacentral:misc_RNA from 1 species
GAUGAAGAACGUAGCGAAAUGCGAUAAGUAUUGUGAAUUGCAGAAUCCAGUGAAUCAUCGGAUCUUUGAACGCACAUUGCGCCCGCCAGCAUUCUGGCGGGCAUGCCUGUUCGAGCGUCAUUUCAACCCUCGAGCCCCCCCGGGGGCCUCGGUGUUGGGGGACGGCACACCAGCCGCCCCCGAAAUGCAGUGGCGACCCCGCCGCAGCCUCCCCUGCGUAGUAGCACACACCUCGCACCGGAGCGCGGAGGCGGUCACGCCGUAAAACGCCCAACUUUCUUAGAGUUGACCUCGGAUCAGGUAGGAAUACCCGCUGAACUUAAGCAUAUCAAUAAGCGGAGGA